rnacentral:lncRNA from 1 species
AUCACAUCUCUCCCAGGCUCCUCCAGCCUCACCUGGUGGACUCUAUGAGAACCACAGGCCUCACCUCCAUGGGCAGUCUCAAAACAUUUGCCCUCCUGUGGGCUGUCACAUCCAUUGACCCAGACUUUCUUGGAGAAGAAAUUCUGAAGAAGCAAAAGCAACCAACUCAAAACCCCCACUUCCCCCAGAAGAAAACAUGGGCAAGCAGAUGCAAAAGUGCAGCAGCCAAAGUCUGCGAGUUCCUGCGGGGGCCAGGGGAGGGGCAAGUCCUACGGAAAACUUUUAACAGAGAGCGCUUUGAACACCGCCUGCCAGGGAAGGCAAGCCCCAGUCGGGCGGAAGGUAGCUGGCUGCUGGGCGCGGCGGCGGAGGGAGGCGCCCACCGCCACAGAGGACUCCCAGGAGUGGAACCCAGACUUGCUGGUCUGAGCCAUGCACAAGGCGGGGCUGCUAGGCCACUGUGUCCGGGCAUGGAAGUCGGUGCGGAUGGCCAGCUCCCGGAUGACCCGCCGGGAUCUGCUCGCGAAUAAGGUGGCCCCUGGUAACGGCCUCCACCGACGGGUGAGUGUUGGUGCUGGAGUUUCUGAGGCCCUCGCUGCCUGCAAACAGGCACUGGUUUCUUCUUUGCUUCCAGUGCCCCUGUCCUUAGAACUCACGUGUGGCCGAAGUCUGGCCCUGGAAAAAAGUAGUCACGUGAUCCGCCUGAAACCCCUCCAAAUGCCCAGGCCCUGGGCCUUCCCUUGCUAGCCCUCGUGUCCCUGCUGCCUCUGGCACAACUGUGCCACCUCCGUACAACCCCAUCGAUCUAUUCCCCUCCUGGGUUCUGGGCUGCCCCAGUCAACCAGCCCUACCUAGCCUCCGGGAAAACCAGAAACUAGAAAUCCAAGGAAAUCUGGAUUUCAAAAUCCUAUCCCAAGGCCUCCAGCUUUAUUAAAAUGUACCAGACACUCUAUUUGGACACCGGAAAGUCUCCAGGAACCCCUCCCCCUUACCUAGAUGGGACACAAGAGCCAUGUGUCAAGAUUUUUGUUUAGUUCGGUACACCUGGGCCUACCUUGCCCAGGCUGUUUCUCACCCACCACUCUUGUCUAUCCUGGUUCUCAUUUCUAUGGGACUUUGCUAGAUGCCAGCUCUCCACAAAGCUAAAAUACAAAUGCAGGUAAAAUGCUAAUGACUGACAAGUGCAGAAUGUGUAACUCUUCCUCCCAAGGCAAUAUUUACAUUUCUGACCGGAGACCAUCUUUUCACAUGCACCCCAAAAAGUAACUAAAGAUAGAAUUUUGAGAAUGUUGUAGACUAGUAAGAAAGAAACCUGGGGGCAGGGCUGUUCUGAGUGAGACCCUCAAAUCACGGAAGUGGCUGCUGCACACCCAGCUCAUUUCUCACCUCUCAGUCCCAAC